AGAGUUUGAUCAUGGCUCAGAUUGAACGCUGGCGGCAUGCCUUACACAUGCAAGUCGAACGGUAACAGGUUAAGCUGACGAGUGGCGAACGGGUGAGUAAUAUAUCGGAACGUGCCCAGUAGUGGGGGAUAGCCCGGCGAAAGCCGGAUUAAUACCGCAUACGACCUACGGGUGAAAGCGGGGGAUCGCAAGACCUCGCGCUAUUGGAGCGGCCGAUAUCAGAUUAGCUAGUUGGUGGGGUAAAAGCCCACCAAGGCGACGAUCUGUAGCUGGUCUGAGAGGACGACCAGCCACACUGGGACUGAGACACGGCCCAGACUCCUACGGGAGGCAGCAGUGGGGAAUUUUGGACAAUGGACGCAAGUCUGAUCCAGCCAUGCCGCGUGCGGGAAGAAGGCCUUCGGGUUGUAAACCGCUUUUGUCAGGGAAGAAAAGUCUCGGGUUAAUACCUUGGGAUGAUGACGGUACCUGAAGAAUAAGCACCGGCUAACUACGUGCCAGCAGCCGCGGUAAUACGUAGGGUGCAAGCGUUAAUCGGAAUUACUGGGCGUAAAGCGUGCGCAGGCGGUUCUAUAAGACAGAUGUGAAAUCCCCGGGCUCAACCUGGGAACUGCAUUUGUGACUGUAGAGCUGGAGUACGGCAGAGGGGGAUGGAAUUCCGCGUGUAGCAGUGAAAUGCGUAGAUAUGCGGAGGAACACCGAUGGCGAAGGCAAUCCCCUGGGCCUGUACUGACGCUCAUGCACGAAAGCGUGGGGAGCAAACAGGAUUAGAUACCCUAGUAGUCC
rnacentral:rRNA from 1 species